rnacentral:rRNA from 1 species
UGGGGAAUCUUGGACAAUGGGCGCAAGCCUGAUCCAGCCAUGCCGCGUGAGUGAUGAAGGCCUUAGGGUUGUAAAGCCCUUUUGCCGGGGACGAUAAUGACGGUACCCGGAGAAUAAGUCCCGGCUAACUUCGUGCCAGCAGCCGCGGUAAUACGAAGGGGACUAGCGUUGUUCGGAAUCACUGGGCGUAAAGCGCACGUAGGCGGAUUUGUAAGCCAGGGGUGAAAUCCCGGGGCUCAACCUCGGAACUGCCUUUGAUACUGCGGAUCUCGAGUCCGAUAGAGGUGAGUGGAAUUCCUAGUGUAGAGGUGAAAUUCGUAGAUAUUAGGAAGAACACCGGUGGCGAAGGCGGCUCACUGGAUCGGUACUGACGCUGAGGUGCGAAAGCGUGGGGAGCAAACAGGAUUAGAUACCCUAGUAGUCCCUGAGCGGGCUGGCAAGGCGCAU